GGAGAACCAUAACUCAGUGGUAGAGCACCUGCUUUGAAUGCAGAAGGUCCAGGUUCAACCUUCAAUGGCAUCUCCA